GAAAAGAGGGAUGGGGCCACAGGAGGAUGGAGCAGACGAAGGAGGGAGAAGCAACAGCAUGGUGAGGGAGUGGUGGCUCGGCUGCAGGACCUGCGAGCCUUGCAUGCCUGUGGCUUCUUGUGUCACUGGAACUGCAUGGUGAAGAAGUAGGUGAUUUGGACAAAUGUACACCUGAUCAGUUGAUCUGGACAAUUCUUCUCAUUCAUCACCCAGUAUGCUUGCUUACCCCAAAACACACACACACAAUGUACUUUCAGCUUUUCAGAAAAUGGGCGUUUUCCCUCAAAUACUGGAGAAAAUCGAAGUGGCUGCCUGUCAUUCCACAGGUUGCCGGAUUCAAGACAGACCAAGGGGGAAUAAUGAAGAACACCAUAGAGGAAACCACAGUAGUAAUCACCCAACCACUGAUUCUUCAGGUUUUAGACAAAUGAGGUCUAUUCGACGCUUGAGUUGCGCUACUUCCUUGUAGCUGCUUGGACAAACUACCAGUUCAUCCUCUGAAUCAAGUAAGAAUGAGCCAGAAAAAUUACCAGGACUCCAGAGGUCCCAACUCAGGGAAAAUACCCUCCGCUUUGAGACAUGAGGAAUUAGCCAAAUAGUGCCUCUCAAUCCUUGUUGCUGGUUGCACUGGUGUUAAAGAUGAAGACUGUGAGAAAGAGGAAGCGCAAUCUAUUCAUUUGAAGAAAUCAAACAAUGACAACAGAAGAAAUCAUUUGGAUUGUUUCUUCAGUUCUGUUUUCAAGUGCAGCCUCACUGAUGGACUUGCUUACAACACAAGCCACUCCCUGUUUCCUCAAAAAGAGUUAGUUCAUUGCCUCAGCAGUAGUGCAAGAGCUUCCUGAAGUAGUUUGCACAGCAAUCUCAUUCUCUGAUCAUCCAUGCCAGCUACAUUUCCAGAACUCAAGAGGCUGUAGAAACUGCUCAAAUGUACAUUUGGAUAGUGCAUGAUUAAUCCAUGACGCUAAGAUGACAUAAGUCUAAAACAGCUUAUGAUCCUUACAGAACCUUGUCUUACAAGGAACAGAUAGAAAAAACAGACAGUAUUUAUGGUCAGAGAAAUGAUCCCCAGAUGCUGCUUUAGAGCUGACCCUGCAAGCCAGCAAGUUUUUCAUAUAGUCCUCAAUUUAUUUCCACCCAGCCAGCUUUGCAUCUUGGAUAUCACAGCCCCAGAGACUCCUACCAAACCUUACAGCACCUCUCUCCAACCCCAGGUGUGGUUCACAGUGCACCUCUGAUGAGUCUGCCACCUUCUCUCACAGCCCUACAAUCAACUUUGUCUAAACCCCUGAACCACCCUACAAUUCACCUCUCCCACCUUUUGAAUAUUUAUGUAUUUAUAUUCCACCACCCUCAGCAUGUAUACCCAUCAGUACAUGCACAAAUCUUUGCAAAAUCUGCACUCUGUCUCCCUAAGUGCUACCUCCUUCACUAUCUACUUGCCAGUUAUACCAUUGCCAGAGCAAUAGCUAGGUGCUGGUCUUGGGACCUACAUAUUU